AGCUCGGUAGCUUAAUUGGUAAACCGCUCGUCUAGCAUACAUGAGCCGUGGGCUCGAAUACCACCUGAGCAU
rnacentral:tRNA from 1 species